rnacentral:tRNA from 1 species
GGGGGUAUAGCUCAGUUGGGAGAGCGCCUGGUUUGCAACCAGGUGGUCAGCGGUUCGAAUCCGCUUACCUCCACCA